UACAGAGGUCUCAAGCGUUGUUCGGAUUCAUUGGGCGUAAAAGGGUGUGUAGGUGGCGCCGUAAGUCGGGUGUGAAAUUUCGGAGCUUAACUCCGAAACUGCAUCGAUACUGCGGUGCUUGAGGACUGGAGAGGAGACUGGAAUUCAUGGUGUAGCAGUGAAAUGCGUAGAGAUCAUGAGGAAGACCAGUGGCGAAGGCGGGUCUCGUGGACAGUUCCUGACACUGAGACACGAAGGCCAGGGGAGCAAACGGG
rnacentral:rRNA from 1 species